CAAGACCAACAACCCCUUCUCUUCCUCUUCAGCCUACUCAGUGUGAAGAUGAUAAAUCAGUGUUUACUGCAGAGAACACAGAAGCCAGCAAGCAGCAGGGAAGGGAGGCGAACCAAUGCAGCAGCCCACCGGGACCGAGGAGGACACACGCAGAGCAAGUCACAGGAAGCGCAGCUGAAAACAAAUGGACGCUUAUCCCAAAUGCACAGGACACUUACCAAGAACUGAUGGUCCGUCAAAGUAAAGCUCAACAGCUUUGGCUGGCAGGACAGUCAAACUUUUGGACGACAGAAAGUAACAGUGGGAAAUGGGACAACAUCUGCCAGCAACGCGAGAGGCCAAGACCAUGGCUGCUACAGGAGGGGUCAGCGUCACAGUACACGCAUGGCGGCGGUUGCACAUGCAUGCCUGGGGAAUGUGAGUGUUCAGACAUGCCAGGAGUCCAGCCUCACCAGGAAACAGGCACACGGGGACAGAGGCGCAAACACUGAAAACUCUCGCUGAAUCCACUCGGCUGAGCGGUGGUCACGAGAGCACGGCCCUGCGCUCCCCACAAAACUGCACCUGGGCCCCAGGGCGAGACAGGCGUGGAAGGUGCAGGGGUGUGUGUGGGGGCAGGGGCUCCUGGCUCAGAGCCGUAUCCAGGAACCCCCCUUCAGGCUGGAGCCCUGCCCUGAGCCCCCUGUGGAGAGACUGUGGAGAGCCCCCUGUGGAGAGGGUGACUGUGGGAGAGCAGCAUCAGGCCUAGUCUCGGCUGUGAAGUACCCCCCACCUCCACGCAGGAUCCCGGGGAUUCUGUCAAGGUGGGGGCCGCCUGCUCAGCCCAGGCUCCCUGAACGUGUGGCUAGCUGAGUUUGCGGAAGAAACCAGGAGAGUGCCAACACCAGGCUUGCAAGCAAGAGGCUCCCUGACUGCCUGAUCCUGGAGCGCACCCCAUCCUCCCUGUGUUCCCUGGGCCUCAGCUGUUCCCCAGUGACCUUGGAGACACCCUGCCCCACCCUGGCUCCACAGGAGCCCUGCCCAUCACCGCCUCAGCUCUGAGUCUCCCCUGGGGACACAACCUUCCUCCUGGUGCAGAGGCGCAGGAUGCUGCCCCUAAGGCCCAUCUUCCUCUGCAGCAUGUUUUGAUGUCAGCUCAUUCACAGGAAAGAAACAAUCACAUCUCAGUGCCCAGAAUGGGGACCAAUAGGAGAGGUCACUGGGAAUAAAGCCCACACGCACCCCAGGGUCCAUGGGCUCCCCAGAAAUGCAGGUGGCCUCCGCCAGAGCCAACAAGCCUAAGUUGCUGAUCAGCCCCUCCCUGCUUCCCUGUGUGGAAGAGGAAACAGAGGCCCAGACUAGUAGGGCUCUGCCGUGGUGGCCGGCUGCGUCCCCAGACCUCUGGUCCCAGGGCUGGCUGGGAGUGCCCCUCCCUGUGCUCACUUCCUGCUCUCCUGGGAAAUGGCUCAGGGAUGGGGCGUGUGGGGACAGAUGCUGGCAUAGCUCACAAAAUGCUUGCACAAGGGACACUCCAUGGCAGGUCCCUGCAGGAGAGCAAAGUCACAACAUUCAGAGAUUCCCUGCACUCUGAGGCCCGCAGAGCCUGGCCGACCAAGCGAGGCUGGGAGGAUGUUGCCUGCUGGUCAGGGCAGCCCUCUGAUCAGGGCGGCCGAGUGAGGCUGGGAGGAUGGUGCCCGCUGGUCAGGGCAGCUGAGCGUGGCUGGGAGGAUGGUGCCUGCUGGUCAGGGCAGCCCUCUGGUCAGGGUGGCCAAGCGAGGCAGGGAGGGAGGUACCCACCGGUCAGGGCAGCCGAACAAAGCUGGAAAGAUGGUGCCUGCUGGUCAGGGCGGCUGAAUGAGGCUGGGAGGAUGGUGUCUGCUGGUCAGGGCAGCUCAGGAGGUGCUGCCCAGGAGGUGCUGUCCAGGCAGAGCCUAGGGCUGGUGUGGGUGUGCCAUGCUCCUGAGAAGUUUCUGGGUUGUGGCUUUAAUGUUCUCCUGCAGUGAGAACGCUGACACUUGGCCAAAGGGUCCUCACCUCUCCCCUAGUACACUUCUGAGAUGCCAGGAAGGUUCUGAACAUCAGAUUGAUUCCUGGGACUCCCCUCCAGGGUGGCCUUACUGGAGUCAGGAGCCCCUGCCCCACUAGGAUGGCUCUGCAGUGGCCUGAGGACAGUGAGCACUGACUGGUCACUGGUGCAAAGUUGCCCACUGUGAUGGUUUUGACCGUUGAUGGGAACCAAGUGAAAGCCCUGCAGCUAUUUCUAGGCAUUUCAGAGGGUGCUUCCCUGCAUGUACUCUGCUGCAGACCAUCCUCCCUGGGCCAGGAGCCCGCUACACAGUAGGAGAUUCUUUUUCUUCUCUUUUGAGCACUUUUAUUCUCUUUUUCUUAAUCUCUGCUCCUCCUUUGAACUGAGAAAUGUGCAAAUCUUUUUUGUUAGUUUUGAGGUUGCUUCUUAUGCAUAUUUCAUCUGGAACUUUCCCCUUUGGGGGUGAUCUGUUCUAUCAGCCUGCCCGCUGCUAGAGAGGCCGAGGUGGUCCGGCCAGCCGUGCGCUGCUGCUGGUGUCUCUGUGGGCAUGACCUGGUGAGAUAUCAUUCUGCAUCUGGGGGUCCAUCCUAUCAGCCCUGUGUUCUAGAUUCCCCAGUGACUGACAUUUAGCCAGUCUCCUCUGUCACUCUCCAGUGACAUGUACACACUGUUGGCACGAACUGCAGAUGUCACGUUCUGUGGCUGAGAGCCUCAGUGUGCAUCUGUAGUAGGAGGAUGUCAGUGAGGACUGUCCUGUCGCUGCUGAGCUGGCACCGACUGUGCCUGGUCUACACUCCAGGUCUGCCAAACGACCCAGCAAGGUCCUUCACAACUCUUCUGAUCCAGGAUCACACAUCACUUGUGCUUUGAUGCCUGCUUCUGAACAAUUUUACCUCCUGAGAUGUCCAUUUUUGGGAGUGUGAGCCCUCCUCUCCUGGUGACAGCUGGCUGAGGCCGUCCAGCCUCAGGACACACAGGGAACGGCUGCAUAAGGAGAUCUGGGGCAGGGGGCCCACCAGGAUGUUCUGCCCUGUGGGGGGCAACACCGGCUGUGGUCUGCCGGCGGCAUCCAGGGACAGUCUGUCUAGGUGAGGCUGAGGCCGCCCCCACUCGCUCCCUCACCCCCAUGCUGACAGCAGUGAGCUGACCACAGACUGGGGGAGCCCCACAGGGAGACUGGCCUCCCCAGCACAUGCCCCGCAGUGCCAGACGCGGUCAUCACAGAGGCAGGUACACGACACCACGGACGUGCCACGUACCCGCCAUCGGGACCAAGGACCACUGAGAAACCAUGAAGGCCAUGCAGCGACUGUGGUGGCAGGACCGUCAGGAGGCCAUAGGUGCCACGGCUCCCCUCUGGUGGUUCACCUGCCCACCUGUAGCUGGGGUGGCCCCUCCAGUGCGCUCCCCAGAGCAGAACACCCCCCAGGCAACACGUCUGAUGAAGGCCAACAGCGUCAGUCCUCUGGUGUUUGGUGACAUCAAAGCUGUGCCGAAAGGCCUUCCCUCACUGCUAACACUUGAAGGGCUUCUGUCCGGUGUGGACCCUCUGAUGGCGAAUGUGGUCUGUCUUAUGCUUAAAGAUCCACCUCCAUUAACUGCACUCUUAGGGUUUCUUCCUCUGAAAAGGAAUGAACACGGGAACCCCCUCAAAGGCAUUUUUAAAUGAAGCGUGGAAGGCAUCAAAGAUGUGCUCUUCUUCAGGACUCAGGCUUCUCCAUCAUUCUCUGUUCCUUGGAAGCGUGAGGGCUAAGGAGCUGCUGACUUCUCUCUCUUGGCCCCACUUCAAGAAAGGCUUGCUUCCCACACACCUCUCCACGCUCCCAGUGCGGGACUGACACUCUGCACCGGGAGGCCAAGGGCCACCAUCGUCUUGCUGGGAGAAGGUGUGACGUUUCUUGGUCAUAGGAGGGAGUGUGAUCUGACACCAGAGGACUUAAUAUAACAUUGCAGUGUUAACAUCUUCACUGGCAGAUUCAUGGACUUUCCCCCUCCUGAAUGAUUAUAUGUCAAGUUCUGUGUGAAAUGAGAGACCAUGGGGAUUCAUUAUUGCUGGAGUUGACGGUAUUGCAGUUUUAUAACCAUCUAAUAAAUUAGCAUUUAAUACUGAGAGAUUUCAUCUUAAACUCAGAGGAUUGCUUUGUUUUAAAGAAGAUUUUUGCAAGGAGAAGCAAUGGAAACCAUUCAGAAAAUGUGGGAGAUAAAAAUCCUAUUCAAGAAAACGGAUCUUGGAUCUUUGCAUUCACUUGAUUUGUCAGAAUAUUAUUCUGUGCUAAAAAAUAGAAGGGAUUAAAUGUUAAAAAUCACUGAGGCACAAUUCUCUUGAGUUCACCAAUUUUGUACUCCUAUUUCCAGUUUCUUUUCACAUACGUCAUUCUCCAUCCUGAUUAAGCUUGUUCUUUCUGAGCUCAUUUCUGAUACCAAAAGAAGUCAUAAAGUUCUAUAAGAUUAAGAAUUCUCUUAGAAGUACAGAUUUGCAUGAACGUCAAAGAAAAAAAUAUCACAUUUUACUCCCAUAUGCUUUAAUGAUUAUUUUAUUAGGUCAGGCAUGGCUUAGGUUAGAACCUUUGUGGUUUUUUUUUUUUUUAAAUUCCAUUUAGUUAAAUGUUGACACAAUAUUUUUGGAAUUCUAUAUUUUGACUUUUCCGUUAACCUAGGUCUGUUUUGGAGUGGGGAAGAGGGUAGGUCAUCAUUUCUAUUUAAAAUGGGAAUUGGCUAGGCGUGGUGGCUCACGCCUGUAAUCCCAGCACUUUGGGAGGCUGAAGCGGGUGGAUCACGAGGUCAGGAGAUCGAGACCAUCGUGGCUAACACGGUGAAAACCCGUCUCUACUAAAAAUACGAAAAAAAUUAGCCGGGCAUGGUGGUGGGCGCCUGUAGUCCCAGCUACUCGGGAGGCUGAGGCGGGAGAAUGGCGUCAACCCGGGAAGCAGAGCUUGCAGUGAGCCAAGAUUGUGCCACUGCACUCCAGCCUGGGCGACAGAGCGAGACUCCAUCUUAAAAAUAAAAUAAAAUAAAAAAUAAAAGUGGCGAUAAUUAAAAAGUCAGGAAACAACAGGUGCUGGAGAGGAUGUGGAGAAAUAGGAACACUUUUACACUGUUGGUGGGACUGUAAACUAGUUCAACCAUUGUGGAAGACACUGUGGUGAUUCCUCAAGGGUCUAGAACUAGAAAUACCAUUUGAUCCAGCCAUCCCAUUACUGGGUAUAUACCCAAAGGAUUAUAAAUCAUGCUGCUAUACAGACACAUGCACACGUAUGUUUAUUGCGGCACUAUUCACAAUAGCAAAGACCUGAAACCAACCCAAAUGUCCAUCAAUGAUAGACUGGAUUAGGAAAAUGUGGUGCAUAUACACCAUGGAAUACUAUGCAGCCAUAAAAAAGGAUGAGUUCGUGUCCUUUGUAGGGACAUGGAUG
ensembl:lncRNA LINC00639 long intergenic non-protein coding RNA 639